GGAGUGGCGAACGGGUGAGUAACACGUGGGUAACCUGCCCAUCAGAAGGGGAUAACACUUGGAAACAGGUGCUAAUACCGUAUAACAAUCAAAACCGCAUGGUUUUGAUUUGAAAGGCGCUUUCGGGUGUCGCUGAUGGAUGGACCCGCGGUGCAUUAGCUAGUUGGUGAGGUAACGGCUCACCAAGGCCACGAUGCAUAGCCGACCUGAGAGGGUGAUCGGCCACAUUGGGACUGAGACACGGCCCAAACUCCUACGGGAGGCAGCAGUAGGGAAUCUUCGGCAAUGGACGAAAGUCUGACCGAGCAACGCCGCGUGAGUGAAGAAGGUUUUCGGAUCGUAAAACUCUGUUGUUAGAGAAGAACAAGGAUGAGAGUAACUGUUCAUCCCUUGACGGUAUCUAACCAGAAAGCCACGGCUAACUACGUGCCAGCAGCCGCGGUAAUACGUAGGUGGCAAGCGUUGUCCGGAUUUAUUGGGCGUAAAGCGAGCGCAGGCGGUUUCUUAAGUCUGAUGUGA
rnacentral:rRNA from 1 species